AUCCAGCUUCAUUUACAGUAUUAGCACUAAAAUUCGGAAUAUCUUUAAUACAUUUUUUGUUCUACAUUGUGUUCCUAACAGCUUUACAUAAAAAAAGCCGAGGACUGCUAGAGUUUUUUAACUCUUAUAAUGUCAUCGUAUUGAUAGGCCUUAUUGUAACAAUUUCUCUUUACCUACCGAUGAAGGCAUAUAGCUUACAUUAUACAGUCGGAGUUUACGUAUUUCAAUAUAUUAUCCUGACUUUAAUAACACUAGGAUUUUCAAUAUUAUUCCAGCUGUACCUCAUAGUCGCUGUGCGAAGUCUUAUAUCAAAGCUGGAGGAUGACAAAGAUUGCUCAUCAGCCGUCUGCCAGUCCGAGGAUCCGGAAUGCAUUAUCCAUAUGUACAAGGAAAAAGAUUAUCUUGAUUGCUAGUUGAAAAUAUCAAUGUUAACGUUGUUACGUUAAAAUUCUAAAUACGCCAAAAAGUAAAUGUUUUCAAAAGUAUUACUUAUAUAAUUGUAAAUUUAUUA